UUCAUUUGCAAACUGUGACCCACUCAUUUGUUCUCCUGCACAUCGGCUCGCGCACCAUGGCAUGUACGUUUCCCGCUCCUAUGGCACUCAAUGGUCAUUGCCUGGUGUGUUUAAUUAAUCCGUGACACCUAUGGAAUAUGAAAGUCCAUAGCAACCCAGGGAGCUGCUCAAACCCGAAAACCGAGCAGCCGACCCCGAAAGGGCCACAGCGACUGGUGUGGAGGACUCUCCUUUAGCACCCUCUAUGCAGAUGAACAGCGAUGGCCACAGAAUCCCACCCACCUGAACAGUAUGAACACACAGUGGAACAUGAUUCAGUCGAUGACGUGGUAAACAUGGAGCAUGUGCUGAACUCACUGGAGAGGGUCAUUCUCACCAUCUUCCUCUCUAUCAUCAUCAUCAUGACUGUUCUGGGAAACCUGCUGGUGAUGGUGGCGCUCUGCAAGGACAGACAUCUUCGGUAAGCCCACUUCCUGUUACAUGUAGGUCACGUCCUGUCAAGGCUUUUUCUAAUUUGGGCAAAUGUCCAUGCUCCACCCUCUCUCCUCUC